rnacentral:rRNA from 1 species
UGGCGAACGGGUGAGUAACGCGUAUGCAACCUGCCUGAUACCGGGGUAUAGCCCAUGGAAACGUGGAUUAACACCCCAUAGUACUUUUAUCCUGCAUGGGAUGUGAGUUAAAUGUUCAAGGUAUCGGAUGGGCAUGCGUCCUAUUAGUUAGUUGGCGGGGUAACAGCCCACCAAGACGAUGAUAGGUAGGGGUUCUGAGAGGAAGGUCCCCCACAUUGGAACUGAGACACGGUCCAA